AACGAACGCUGGCGGCAUGCCUAACACAUGCAAGUCGAACGAGAUCUUCGGGUCUAGUGGCGCACGGGUGCGUAACGCGUGGGAAUCUGCCCUUUGGUUCGGAAUAACAGUUGGAAACGAAUGCUAAUACCGGAUGAUGACGAAAGUCCAAAGAUUUAUCGACAGAGGAUGAGCCCGCGUAGGAUUAGCUAGUUGGUGUGGUAAAGGCGCACCAAGGCGACGAUCCUUAGCUGGUCUGAGAGGAUGAUCAGCCACACUGGGACUGAGACACGGCCCAGACUCCUACGGGAGGCAGCAGUGGGGAAUAUUGGACAAUGGGCGAAAGCCUGAUCCAGCAAUGCCGCGUGAGUGAUGAAGGCCUUAGGGUUGUAAAGCUCUUUUACCCGGGAUGAUAAUGACAGUACCGGGAGAAUAAGCUCCGGCUAACUCUGUGCCAGCCGCCGCGGUAA
rnacentral:rRNA from 1 species